GGACGAACGCUGGCGGCGUGCCUAAUCCAUGCAAGUAGAACGCACAGUUUAUACCGUAGCUUGCUACACCAUAGACUGUGAGUUGCGAACGGGUGAGUAACGCGUAGGUAACCUGCCUGGUAGCGGGGGAUAACUAUUGGAAACGAUAGCUAAUACCGCAUAAUAUUGAUUAUUGCAUGAUAAUUGAUUGAAAGAUGCUAUUGCAUCACUACCAGAUGGACCUGCGUUGUAUUAGCUAGUAGGUGAGGUAACGGCCCACCUAGGCGACGAUACAUAGCCGACCUGAGAGGGUGAUCGGCCACACUGGGACUGAGACACGGCCCAGACUCCUACGGGAGGCAGCAGUAGGGAAUCUUCGGCAAUGGACGAAAGUCUGACCGAGCAACGCCGCGUGAGUGAAGAAGGUUUUCGGAUCGUAAAGCUCUGUUGUAAGAGAAGAACGGGUGUGAGAGUGGAAAGUUCACACUGUGACGGUAUCUUACCAGAAAGGGACGGCUAACUACGUG
rnacentral:rRNA from 1 species